rnacentral:lncRNA from 1 species
ACACUGCUUUCAGUCAUGCAUGUGGAAAGGUAGGUUGUUGAAAGUAGAAUUAAACAUUAAACCGGUUUUAGUAUUAUCUGUUAGGAAAGCAACUUAUCUGUAUUGAAGGCCCAAAGGGCAUAUAUAUUACACAUGACUUGAGGUGCAAGGAAAGUAAACAUAGACUAAUAAGGACUCCUAGACUAAUANCCCCCCCCCCCCCCCCUUCAAAUGCAAAGCGUAUGCAAUAGCAUUGCAUUUGAAGAAGUGUAAUACUAAAGAAAAAUGAUAAUCCAAAUCCACGUCUUGAGAGUGUAGUCGUAGCAUGAAGAGUCUUCAAAACUUGUCGAGUCGCCGAAGGAGAGAACGAAGAGAUGGCACAUCAGAAGUAGACACCGCAUCACUUGAAGAUACAAGAUAAGUAUCAAGAGAAGAUGGGUUGUCAAAAGAAGAUGGCACAUCAAGAGAAUAAAGCAUUGUGCAGAAAAUCAUAGUCCACGACAACCGACGGCGAAAGAAGCUCGGUGGUUAAGGCACAUGGACGUAGAUCGACAAUGCAAAAGAAGUCCAGAAAAUCCUAUAGAAAACAACAAGGGCAAGUAGGCCACAAAAGUUGCAUAGAAAGGAUCAGGACCGGAGAAAGGCUGACGGACUAAGGUAUGGUGGACUCGCAUGGCAUGAGAAAACACAAAAUAUGAACGAAUUUGGUGGACGCAGCGGAAAAAAACUGAAAAGCAUAUACGAACGCGAUAGCAAGCAUCAGCAUGUGAGCAGCGGUAGUAGCUUAUAGAAAAGCGCCAGCAAGCAUGUAGGCAAGCAACACAGGAUAGCAGGAGGAAAGCCGCACAAGGGACAACACGCAGCCAUGCAAGCAAUGCGUAACAAACCCAUGUAGAGCUGUAUCAACACAGCAGCAGGAACGCGGACCACCAGAAGCUACCAAGCAAGUAGCUUGCAUGGGCGGUGGCUGGAUCCCACGAGCGGACUUACAGGCAGCGGCCUGAGGUGAGCUUCGAUGUGGCAAGAUGUCCGUGCAGACCGAUCUGAGAGGCUGCGCUUGCUGGACAAGCUGUCGUGGCUCGAUCUGGAGGCUGACAGCAGGGACUGGCUUGCAGGAGACUUGCCUGACGGGUGAACGCAGCAGACCGAUGGGCAGAUCGGGCGGGCACAGCCAUGGACAACGGAUCCUGGAGAUUUGGAGAGGGAGGUGACGGGGCGCCAGCAUCCAAUAGCAGAGCAUGAGAUCGAUCCGCAGACGGGAUCGAGAUCUGAUCUGGCGGCGGCUGGGGGCGGCGGAGGCUGGAGACGCGGGGGAGGACGGGCGCGGCGGCGGCUGGAGACGCGGUGGCAGGGGCCGCCUGCGGGAGAUCUGGAGGGAGACGGCGUCACGGAAGGCCGGCUUCAGCGGCCGCGUCAGGUCACUCCAUACGCCGCACGCGAACGCCACGCUCGGCCCACCAUCGUCAGGAUUCAAGGAUCCGUCCAGGAGACCUGCCACGGAGUCCUGUAGCUCGAGGCUGGACCGCACACCUAGGAUGCGGAGGAUCUCUUCCAGGGUCUUCCCACCAGCACCAGCGGUCAGGAGCACCAGGACGGCGUGGAUGGAGAUCGGAGAGGUUCACGGCCGCGAGUCGCUUGAUGAGGCGCAAUAGAGAAAGCGGCCAGAGAGAGAAAGCGGCGCAAUCGAAGAUUGGAUCGGGAGGGCGAGUUGCGGCGCCCGAAAAAAAUAACCUAAGCUCUAAUACCACGUUAGGAAAGCAAUUUAUCUGUAUUAAAGGCCCAAGGGGCAUAUAUAUAUUACACAUGACUUGAGGUGCAAGGAAAGUAAACAUAGACUAAUAAUGACUCCUAGACUAAUACUAAUAGACUAAUAAGGACUCCUAGACUAAUACUAAUACUUCCUAAC